rnacentral:misc_RNA from 1 species
UGCACACGCUGACACACGGCAGUGGUCGUGUCGGUCCCUCCUCUUGCCCUCGCCGCCAAAGGAAUUCGGGGAUGCAGCGGCCGUCAUGGCAGAGCAGGCCGUCGUCCGCGCGGUUGAGUAUGGCAGGUGCUGGUGCCAUGCCGUCGGAGGCCGAUUUGGAUCGGCUGCGCAGCCGUCUUCACCAGUCCGGCGCCAUUGUAUCCUCUCGCUCUGUCGCGUCCAGGGCAGAUGCGAACUUCGACUUGGAGGUUGUCAACGUCGGUGAUGGACGGCGCGCCACCCCGGUAGAGCACUUGCUGGCGCGGCUGGAGCAGCACGGCCUACGUCGCCGACUGGUUGCCGAGGACGACGCCGCAGCGUACGCCGUGGAUGUAGCCGCACGCGCGGAUACGGAGGAAAACGCGGACGACGACAGCGACGAGACGCAUGCAUCAGGGGACGGCAACGCUGAGGACCCCAGGGCCGUAUCCUCUUGCUCCUCGGGUGAUGGGGCGUUCUCUUCCCCGGCGCCAUCUCAGGCCCCCGAAACGCGUGAAGCAUACUACUACCUCUGUGUUCCCUGUGAGCUCCGCCUCACUCGCAUCAGCCGCCGUCCGCCGCGCUGGCGCGCACUCGAGGACGUGCACUUCCAUUUCUCCUCUGCGGCGCACCGCGCCACCGCGUCGUGGAUGGCAGACGACGAUAUCGACGAGACGCUCCACUCCACGCCACUCAUCACGCCGACGAACUACUACAGCCGUAUCUACGUGAACGGCGUCCCAACACUCUUGUCACGCCGCCCGGGUGGGGGCGACAUGUUCUACCCACUGCCGCACGAGCAGGACCUUGUGGCCCCUUACAGCGCCGCGGCUGCGCGCGACGGCGAGCGUGUCGACUGUUGGCACGGCUCGCAGACGGUGUCAAACUCCUCAGGGGCGUCGGGCGCACUCGCCGGCAGGUUCUUUCCUUCCUCGACGCUACGAGGUGCGCAGGGCGGGGCACCUGUGUUGUGGCAUCGUGCACUUCCCAGUCUCUACACCAGAACGGUUCAGGUUGUACGCCGCGCGCGCUCCAGCUGUCUGGCCGAUUUGCCGGCAGACCGGCGAAGGUACCGUGUGGCCCGCAGGAGGUCGCGAGUUAUGGUAGGCGUCGACCAUUGCAGCCUCGACGAGUACCGCGAGCAAUCCUGGAUGCCGCUGCACAAGGUGCCGCUGUGGCUGGCGGUGUAUCGACUCCGCCGGGAGCGCGUUCCCAAGCCUCUGCUGGCCCGCCCCGAGUCCGCCGGCCCACAUGGACAGGCUGUGCCACUUCGGUGCAGCGAGUCCGCCGUGCGGGCAGCCCAGGCAGCUGAUGUGGCACAUCGGACAGUGUACACGCAGCCCUACCACCCAAUAGCGGAGGGCUCUCGAGACUAUCAAAGGCAAGGCGACGCCUUCACGGCAGCCGUCCCCGUGCCGACCACGGUCUUUGAGGAUGAGUGCUAUCGAGUCGCUCUCGUGUCCGCUGCGGAGCAGGCGCGCCACGAGGGCCUUUCCCACCCGGUGACCUCUCGACCGCUGAGCCGCUCCUUAUGUCCGGCCGACGUUGCGUCGGAGGAGAUCAAUCGCCCGGUGCUGACGCUUGAGCUACUCAUGCAGCACACCCAAUCCACUGCCCAGUCCUGGAGACCUGCCGUCGGGUCGAGCACCGCACUGAAUAGUUCCUUCGUGCCGACCACCGCGCCACCGUCACCCUCUCGUCGCAGCAGCAUCAGCCACCUCACCCGCAGUAGCAGUUCAGGCAGCACAUCAUCCUCGCCCUCGUUUGAGCACUCCAGCACGUCGAGGUCUUUAACUCACACCCGCAAACGGGUCAAGCGGGACGGCUGUCUGUGAGAUACGUAUCACGUUCCCACUAGCAAGGGCAAAUGCGCACGUAUGAGCAGAGGGAGGGCGGCUCGCUGCUUGGAUGGAUGAUGCGGCCCUCAUUCACAGUCCAUGCCUUGUUUUUAUCUCCCCUCCCCCUCCCCUCCACACGCACGCGUGCCUCGCUCCACGAACAAGAAACGAGCGCCUCUGCUGCAGCCAGCAGAGGGGGAGAAGGGGGCGGAGCACUGAGGAGGGGCUUCACCCCUCGUCUCCCUCCGGCAAGGAAAGCGGUUGAGUAAUGAAGGACACAAGACACGAAGCUCAUUGGAAAGGGCAGCGCCGUGGCAUCUCACGUUACGUUGUAUCCCUUUUGGGGGAGGAGAGCACCUGCGGCGGAAGUCUGCGUGGUGACCACAGCAACACCCUUUUCGCAGCCACUGAGUUCUAUGUACCUGUGUCUUAUUCGAGCGAUACCUCGCGCGAAGCCACACGCACGCAUUUUCCCGUCCCUUUUUGACGACCCCACCCCUUACCUUCGCCGUUUCUCGCUUCCUCCUCUGGCCGGCACACGCGCACGCACCAUCGGCAACGGAACAUGUCACACGAG